AAAAAAAAAAGAAAGAAAGAAAGAAAGAAAAAGAAAGAAAGAAACGAAAAGAAAAAGAAAAGAAAGAAAGAAGAAAUAAAAGAAAAAAAAAGACAGCUUUGGACAAAAGUCCACAGCCAGUGUGUUCCAAGCCCCUGCACAGGGCUGGCUGUAGCAGGGGACAUUCUCCUGCUGGCUCUCUCUGUCCACACUUAGCUGGCUCCUGUGCUCAGGUGCACGGCCACACCCUUGCACCCAGUCUUGAGCCUCUUAAUGGCGAAAGUCCCAGGACUUGUCAGCUGGGACAGGCCUCACCCCCAAGAGCUCUGUGCAGUGCUGAGAAGCAAACCUGACAGAUUUCUCCAGAAAAGUGGCCAUCCGUGGAAAUGAGGGAAAUAUUCUUUCUAUUCCAGGGAUUGCACAGGCAAAGCUGGGCUAGGUCUUGGAGGCUGUGUAAGGCGGUGCGGUAAGGCUGAUGGAAGAGACUGAUCGAAGAAAAGCUGAAAUGGAUUCUCCGUGCCUUGGAUGGAGGAAGAGGGGGAAGUAGGGAGCUCCUUCAACUCGUUCUGUCCGGUGAGGAGUGAUGCAGCUUGGGCUGACAAGAGGCUCCGGGAACCCUCACGUUCAGGGCUUUUUUACCUGCCAAUCAAAGUGCUACAAGACAACACCCUGAUCUGGCAUGGACGCUUUGGCGGCGCGGGUCCAAGCCUGUAGUCCCAAAUCGGAUAAUCUCUGCAACCGGUUACACGCAAAAGAAGCCAGGCAACAGACAUAUCACAGAAGAAAGCUCUCCACUCCGAGAUUGAACUUAGAAAUUUUAUUUUGCUCAAGACCCAUUUAAGAGAAUCUGAUGUGUUGCUUUGGUCUGAGAGUUCAGACAUGUCUUGCAAAACUAAGAAAGACCUCAUUUUCCGUUUGCUGGGUCCUUCUAUUUUGUCAGCCCUGGGCUCUAUGAGAAGCUUGCCAAGAGGUCCCGGCGCUGGAAGGACCAUGUGUUUUGUCUGCACAUAUGACUGUACCAUGGGCAUGCCUGGUGCCCAUGAAGUCAGAGGAUCCCCUGGGACUUCAGUUAUGGACAGGAGUGAGCUGCCAUGUGGGUAUCGGGAAUUGAACCUUGGUCCUCUGAAAGAACGGCCAGUGGUCUUAAGUGGAUGAGCCACCCCUCCAGCUCUGAGUGCUGUCUUUGAUUUCUGAUCAAACUCAGGCCUUAAUCCUGCUACACAAGAAUUUUUACCUCUGUGCCCUUUGAGCAGUGAACUAUCUUCCUACUCAACUCAUAUUAGAGGCUCAGGAGAGCCCCGGUUUCUACUGAGAUACACCUUCUGGCAUGAAGCACCCCAGUAAACUGUCAACUAAGGUUGCUUUUCAUCUGUUUGCCAAUUUGAAUUAUGUUGGAGGUUUCUCUUGGAUUCUCUUUGGUCCUUUGGAUGGCUGAAAAUUCUCUUGGCUCCAUGGCAUAUGGUUUGCUCAUCUGCUUGGGACCAUGAAAAUGCAUGUCAAGAAUGGUCAAGAUAUCCUGAGAUCUCCUUGGGGCACAAAUCAUCUUAGAGUUUCUCCUGAACUUUACAGGGAGUCCUGGAGGCCACUGAGUUUGGGAAGGGAGGAUUAAGGCUAGUGGGUAGAGCAGCUCCUCUGUCAGUUCUGUGUCUCCCUAAAGCAAAAGGGAGACACAGCAGUUCCUGGGAAAACCAGAGAGCCUGAGGGGUCCUCUGGGCGGAGCAUCUAGAACACUACCUGGGGCGAUGAGGGACUGUGGAGGAGGGGGAAGGUGACAAGGUCACCCUGUUCUCCUAGCCCGCCUGCAUUUUGUUUGCCAUCUUCUUGCCUCCCCUUUCCCAGUGUGGGGAUUGGCCACCAUCCAUGGCAUUGGCAUUGCUCUUUCUAAGUGAAAGUUACCAAUUUUAGAGGAGGUUUAAUUUUUUUCUAUUCUUUUUAAAAAUGUGUCAUGUGUCUUUAAUCAUCCUAUGGACUCCAGCAUAAGGUUGGGAGUGAAGGCUGGAGAAGUGGUUCAGCAGUUAAGAGCAUGUGCUGCUCUCGCAGAGAACUGGGGUUCAGUUGCCAGAACCCACAUGGUGGCUCACAACCACCUGUAACUCUGAUUCCAGGGAAUCUGCUACCCAAUGCUGACCUCUGCAAGCACUAGGCAUGCAUAUGAUGCACACACAAACAUGCAGGAAAAUGCUGGUAGAAUAGCCGUCGACUCAAAAAUAAAUAAAUAAAAUCUUUUUAAAAACUACAAUGCAGCCAGGCAUAGUGGCACAUACUUUUGAUUCCAGCACUUGGGGAGGCAGAAGCUGGCAGAUCCCUGUGAGUUCCAGGCCAAUCUGGUCUACAAAGUGAGUCCAGGGCAGCCAACGUUACACAGAGAAACCCUGUCUCAAAAAUCCAAAGUAGAGACAUGCUGGUAGAUAAUAAAUAUAAAUAAACAAAUAAAUAAAUAGAUAGAUAGAUAAAUAAAUAAUAUCAUAUAUAAUAUAAUAUAAUAUAAUAUAAUAUAAUAUAAUAUAAUAUAAUAUAAUAUAAUAUAAUAUAAUAUAAAUAAAUAUAAGGAGCUGGAGAGAUGGCUUGGUGGCUAAGAGCACUGUCUGCUCUUCCAAAGGACCUGACUUCAAUUCCCAGCACCCACACGGCAGCUCACAACUUUCUGUAACACCAGUUCCAAGGGAUCUGACACCCUUAAACCAGUGCACAUAAAAGAAAAUUAAUUUAAUUUUAAAAAUAAAAGGAAGAGAAGUGUUAGAGAAAAAUUCAGCCAAGAUAAGGGCUUUGACCUGGCUGAGAAAGGACAAACCUGGAGGCUAUAGCAGGAGGAGAGAAAGUUCAAGGCCAGACUGGACUACACAGUGAGAAGUGGCGUCAAAAACAGACCAGAUAAGGCAUUGCAAAGUCCACAGAAGGCAAGAGUUCUAGUUGACCCAGACCCGAUAGAUAAUGCCUGUGUCCUUGGGAGAAUGAUACUUGAACAGCAGGAGAAAACCAAGUGACCACCUGAGUUCCCAGUAGUGCAAACAGGAAGCAUAAACACCCUGAGGUCUGGACUGUCCUGGUGACAAUGACACAGGGACCCUCAGCCCCAGUUCCGACUAGGCCCAGCUUCUUACAACAAUCUACUGGGCUGCCAUGACUGUGGUCUCGCUACCUGUGUGCUCUCCUCCUAGGAGGGUCUGUAGGUUAGGACAAAGCUGUGGUCAGAAGGAAGCUUGAUGGGACAGAACCUUGGCCCCUCAUCUUUGGUUGAUGUCAUUGUCUUGACUCCACAGAAGUAUUUCAAGAGAAAGAUCUGGACUUCAGCGCUUUCUGGGUCGCUAUGGGCGGCUGAGAGCAGGUUUCCCUGAGCCCUGAAACUCAUGGCGCUCCAUUGAGGGUACAGAUAGGCCUAGUGACUCUGGGAAGAGGUCUCCUUCGGGUUUUGAAAUAAAAUAAUGUUCAAAUAGAAGCUCAAUGACAAUUUUGUUAGAGUUUAAAAGGAAAACCCCAGGUGUGUGUGGGGGAGCGGUACCUUUCAGGUUACAGGCUGGGAGGUCUUUUGCAAGGUGCAAGCAGCCACGUGGCAUGGAAAUGGGCUUUAGAGAAGGAGUUAGGAGGCCCAAAGUAUCAGAAAAGUUAUUCUUAGUUCAGGCUAGAAACUGGAAGAAGAGGAAGAAAGGGAAAGAGAAGGCUGUAGUAUGCUGUCUCCAGGAACCUCAGGGCUGCUCGCCUUGGCUUCAGUGCCUGCACCAGGGUCAGUAAUUCUGGGAAAGGAAAAUAUGGCCUCUCAAUAAAGGAAAAUGGCAUCUUCAGCAUGUCUUGAGGUAGACCUGCCUUACUACGGUGUCCAUUGUCCAGGUGGUUGACAAUCACCAUUCAUCUGGAAUGUUAGGUCUCCACCUAAGCCAGAGGCUCGGCUCUGUCUCUCUCCUCUAAUUUUGUAUUUUUGUUUUGUCUUGAGACAGGGUCUUGCUAUGUAAUACCAGCUGGCAUGGAACUCCACAGGUGUACCAGGCUGGCCUCAAACUCAGAGACCCCCAGGCCUCUGCUUCCUCUGUGCCAGAAGGAUCGGAGGCUUGUGUGUGUCAGCUCAUCAUUGGAUUGUAUUCUUUCGACUGGUUUUCCAUGAAGGGGCUGUUCUUGCUAGUCUAAUACCCCCAUUCCACAGAGGACGAAGCAGCCUGCCAGGAACAGGGUCUUGAAUGAUAUAAGGCACAUUCUCUGCAGCGGGGACACGUUCCCAUUUGUCUUUUUUCCCCCCCUUCAGAAGGGAUCUCAUGUUGCCCAGGUUGGCCAUGAACAUGUGAUCCUCCUGUUUCAUCAUUCCAAGGAUCCAGGGUGACAGGCCUGCCUCACCCUGACAGAUUUCAUGAUGACAUUAUAGAAAGGGGGAGGGGGCUGGAGAGAUGGCUCAAUGGUUAAGAGCACUGUCUGCUCUUCCAAAGGGCCCGGGUUCAAUUCCCAGCACCCCCAUGGCAGCUUACAACUGUAACUCCAAUUCUAAGGGAUUUGAAACAAUCACACCAAUGCACAUAAAAUAAAGAAUAAAUUAUUUUUUAAAAAGUAGAAGAAAAAAAAAGACUUAAACUAUCUUCAAGGCCAGGUGAAAUACCUAUCAGUGCCUAAGAGCUUUACGUCACAUUGAAAAUGCAUGCCCACAGUGCACUUUGCGGAAGCAUGGCAGUGUCGUGACGGACAAUGAGUUGUAACUAGCACAUUUGUUUUCCACAGGAGCUCUCAAGAGAAUAGGGUGUGUGUCUUUCCUCUUUCCAUUGCCCACCCCUGCCCCCAGCCCCAAAGGAUGCUUUCACCUUUCAGUCUUUUUUUAUCCUGAAGCUUCCCAGACUGUAUUGGAGGGCAAGGAAGCGUUUGGCCCACAGCAGUGAAAGAACGGUGUGGUGCCUUACCUUCUUGUUAUCCACUUGGGGAAGAAGAGCUAUUUCUGGAAAUUAAAAAAGAACAGAAAAAGGAAAAGAAGGAAGGGAGGAAAGUGUACAAAGAACCCUUCCUGUAAUGCAAGGUCUUUUGUUCUGUGGACAGACUUAGUUCAGUCAGUGAGUCUGGGCCUAGCACACUGUGUCAGUGCUGUCUGUCAGUGGUGACAGUCUCGGUAGAACAAUGGCAGGGCAGUUGGUGUCUCCUUAAUACCCUCAAAAUGCUAAGGAGCCUGGGCCCUACUGCCCGCCAAGCCUCUUCAUGCCAGCGCACACCUAAUCAUCCAGGACAGGAAAGCUGGGCAAUUAAUUUGACCUGAGCUACAUAGUGAAACCCUUUCUCAAAUCCCCAAAGCCAAAUCAAACCCAAACAAACAAACAAACAAACCAGAAACAACUGAGAUGGAUCUACCUGGCGAAGACCUCAGCCCCUGAGUUCCUUCCCAGGUUGGACUUUAAUGUAUGACUGUCUUUUUUCCUGUGACGGGGGCGCUAAAAGCAGGACACAUACAUCCACUUAAGAGUUGCCUUUUUUGGAAGGCUGUGAAAUAAAGAAUUAGGAAAGAGGAAUCAGUUAACCGAGGGGGUGGUGGUGGACUUUCAGAAGAGGGUCAGGGCGGUGCAAGCUCCUUUCCGAUCUUCAGUCACAGUGCUCCACACGUGUGUGGUUUCCUUCCCAAGAGAAACAUAAGUGUUCUGGAGAGAAAGGAAAAGAGAAUCAAAGCCGUCAGAAACAGCCCUGCCAAUACUGAUCUCUUAGAGCUGAAAAAGAAAGUUCUACCUGGAAGAAUUUGAAUGGAAAAGAAGGAAACUCACGGUACACUGUUAUGUGCAAGACAGAGUGAGAAAUUAUUAUACUUGUCAAGAUGGGCAUGAUGGCACAUGCUUAAAGUUCCAGCACUCAGGAAAUAGAGAUGGGGGGAUCGCUAGUUCAAAACCAGCCUUGGGUACAAAGUGAGUUGUAGGCUAGAAAGGGUGGAGUGUGGUGAUGCGCUGUCUUUCAGGUGUGGCAUGACCCUGCACUCAUGGAGUCAGCCAUGGUGAGCUGCAGAAGACCUGCACAACACGGGGUCCAUGAAAAUCUACUCCAGGCAAGGAAGUAAGGAGGGAGAGACCCUUUCUUCACUGACAUAGCCACAGGUAAUGUGCCCAUGUUUCUAUAAACUCUCACCCAUAAUCCUGUAAGCCACCUAAAUGAAACUCUUGGGGACUCUCUACUCCUCUCCUUCUUCCUCUCCCUCUCUCUCUCUCUCUCAGUAUGAAGGAAGGGGGAUAUACUGGAAUUGAAACCCUCAUGAUUUUCUUAGUAAGUCUUUCUCCUUUGUGUUUCUUUGGGACAGGGUCUCACUCUGUAGGCCUAGCUGGCCUACUGUGACUUACUAAGUAGCUCAUGCUUUCCUGAAACUUGCAGUCAUCCUCCUGUCUCUGUUUUCUUAGCCCCGGUAAAUCUUUGUAAAGGGAAAUCAAUAAAAGAGUAUUUUGGUUUGAUGCUUGAGUACUUAAAUCUUUGAAAUGCUUCAGAUUUUAUUCAUAAGUCAGUAAUGGACUAGAUGUGGUGCCAGCUAGUUUUAGAUCAACUUGACACAGCUGGAGUUAACUAAAAGGAGGGAACCUUAAUUGAAAAAAAAAAAAGCCUCUAUAUAUUCCUGCUGUAGGGUAGUUUCUUAAUUAGUGAUUGAGGGAGGAGGGCUCAACCCAUUGUGGGUGAUACCAUUCUUGGGCUGGUGGUUUGGGUUGUAUUAGAAAGUUGGCUGAGAGUGCAGGGCAUAGUGGCACACACCUGAAUCCCAGAUCUCUGAGAGUUUGGGGCCAGCGUGGCCUACAAAGUGAGUCCAGGACAGCCAAGGCUACACAGAGAAACCCUGUCUUGGAAAAAAAAAAAAAACUGGCUGAGAAAGUUAGGAUGAGUAAGCAGCGCUUCUCCAUAGCCUCUGCAUCAGCUCUUUCCUCCAGGUUCCUGCCCUGCUUGAGUUCCUUCUGCUCUUGAUGAUGAACUAAACCCUUUUUCUUCCCCAGGUUGCUUUUAUUUGUUUGUUUUCUUUUCUUUUUCUCAAGGCAUGGUUUCUCUGUGUAGCUCUGGCUGUCCUGGACUCCCUCUGUAGAGCAGGCUGUCUCUGCCUCAUCCUGGGUGCUGGGAUUAAUGGCAUAAACCACCAUUGUUGGGCUCCCCAGGUCGCUUUUGGUCCUGAUGUUCCAUCAGCAAUUGUACCUCUAACUGAGACACACACACACACCUGUAAUCAGGAGGUGAGGCUGGAGGACCAGGAUGUCAAGGUAAUCUUUAGUUAUUUAAUGAGUUUGAGGUUAACCUGGACGAUAACAAAAAAGAACAACAACAAAAAAGAAGCUUCAGAGCACUUGUUUAUUAUACUCUAGAUCCCAUUUAUUUAGAAAACUUGUAUAUUUAUGUAAAACUCCAAAAUCUGGUCUAAAGGGCCACUUCAUAUGGUAAAGGUGCUUGUUGCCAAGCCUGGUGAUCUAAGUUUCAGUCCUGGAUACCACAUGGUAGAAGAAAAAAAACCCAACGUUCACAAGUUGUCCUUUGACCUCCACAGGUGAAUACACACACACAAAUAAACAGAAGCUUAGUUUGGGAUUGCAGAGUUGGCUCCGCAGUUAAAAGCCCUUGCUGCCCCUUGCAGAGGACCCAGGUUUAGCUCUUAGCACCCACAUGGCAGCUCACAAGUGUCUGUAACUCCAGUUUCCAGGGGUUCGGAGACCCAGUACACAGAUAGAACAUGCAUGAGACAAACUAAAUACAUCUUUAAAAAACAAAAUAAAAAAUAAAUGAUUUUAA